AGAGGGAUAGCUGGGUCAAAUGGAGUUCCAUUCCAAGUUUUCCAAGGAAUAUCCAUACUGUUUCCAAAUUGGCUGCACAAUUUGCAGUCCCACCAGCGAU
rnacentral:pre_miRNA from 1 species